GAAAAACUUCAGAGGAUGAUUAUUUUAUGGUCGUCUACUGCAGCUGUAAAUAGCACACGCCAUAAUGAAAUCACUACGAAAUGGGAUGCCUGCAUUUUCUGACUUCGCACAGACUUACAUGGAAACCGGAUAUGAAAACACCUAUACUGGAGCCAACCGUAGUGGCGCUAGUGAGCAACCAGGAACAACAAGACCAGGAAAUGAGCUUCAAAAACGAAGUCUGGUUUUGGCCGCUUGGUC